UACGAAGGGGGCUAGCGUUGCUCGGAAUCACUGGGCGUAAAGCGCACGUAGGCGGCUUUUUAAGUCAGGGGUGAAAUCCUGGAGCUCAACUCCAGAACUGCCUUUGAUACUGAGAAGCUUGAGUCCGGGAGAGGUGAGUGGAACUGCGAGUGUAGAGGUGAAAUUCGUAGAUAUCGCAAGAACACCAGUGGCGAAGGCGGCUCACUGGCCCGGUACUGACGCUGAGGUGCGAAAGCGUGGGGAGCAAACAGG
rnacentral:rRNA from 1 species